CCUAGAACAACGUAUGCUGAUCAUUUGCUGAAAACAACCAACAGGAUCUUGGGUUAGCAAUGCAAACAUAUGUGAGUCAUGGAAAUGAGGCAGUUUGGGAGCUGAAGGGAUCUGAGGCAACUUCUCAAACUGUUUGGAUUCAAGCAAUCUUCAUUACUCAGCUUCCAGAGUCCUGGGGUUACAGACACGAGCCACCACUCCUGACUUUAAGUAGGAAGUUUUAGAUGGUGUGUAUUUAUCACACUUUUUACUUACAAGUCAUGUUUCCUGCUAAGAGCCUUCAUUUAUGACUGCUCAGAAACACUUCAUCCUGAAGGCAAGACUCUGUUAAGAAGAAGUAAUUUACUACCUCGGUCUUGUAAGUCACAGUGUUCCAGAGGUAUAAAAGCUGGCAUAUAAGUUUUAGGAAAAGAUUAACACAUUUUCAUUAUGCUGUCAGAGAGUGCCUGUGAUCCACCAAAAUGUGACAUCCAUUCUGAAAGACCUCUUUCCAGAUUGUCUAUGCCUUUCCAUCCCUAUAGGCCUUUGGGUGUGGCACAGGCUAGCCCACCUAACCGUCUUCACCAUUCCUCUCCUUCUUCUUUCUCUUCUUCCACCCCAAUACACUUCUCUUUUCCUUCACUCAGGUUGUUUAAACUUAAUGGGGAAUGGCAAGUAGGUUUUAAGGAAUCUUUGUGGGUUGAAGCACAUUAAAAAUUUUCUGUAAGUGUGAUUCUGAGAUCCACUGAACUUCAGGUCAGUUUGUGCUCACUCCCUUUCCUGCAUGGUUUGUUAAAUAGACCUGCUCUGGCUUGCAUCCCAGAGCAGAGAAAACCCCUCACUGCUGGUUAGAACUUUCCAGAUGGUGUUUAAAAGAAAAAUUUAUCACCAGCUAGAUUUUCCUGUUGAAUCAAUAUUUUGUAUUUAGUACAAACUGCAUUUUAACAAACAGACACCCCUGGCUUUCAAUCCUGCCCUGACUGGAUGCUGAAAGAAUUCCUGGAAGGAAAUACAGAGACGAUUAGAAUUGUCAGGGUUCAAUUUUCUCCCAAGUGAAUUCUGGUGC